rnacentral:rRNA from 1 species
CAGUAGCCGUGGUAAUACAGAGGGUGCGAGCGUUAAUCGGAUUUACUGGGCGUAAAGCGUGCGUAGGCGGCUUCUUAAGUCGGAUGUGAAAUCCCUGAGCUUAACUUAGGAAUUGCAUUCGAUACUGGGAAGCUAGAGUAUGGGAGAGGAUGGUAGAAUUCCAGGUGUAGCGGUGAAAUGCGUAGAGAUCUGGAGGAAUACCGAUGGCGAAGGCAGCCAUCUGGCCUAAUACUGACGCUGAGGUACGAAAGCAUGGGGAGCAAACAGGAUUAGAUACCCGCGUAGUCCCUGUCUCUUAUAC